CCCUCGCCGGAUGUACAGGAAGUGCAAAAUGCCACCACAUGGGGAGGUGUUCGAGCUAUUGGGGGCAGAUUGGACACCUACAGUGCCCAGGUCAUAAUUGGGGAGCUCAUGUCCUGCAGGGCAGAAAUAGAGGACACAAACCUCGCCUUAGAGAAGAUUUUAAAGAAAAACCGAAAGGUGGACCAAAAACUGAAGAAUCUCAUUGAUGUGCUGGGGAGGGUUUUAAAAAAAAAAAAUAGAUGUAGA